UUUAUCAAGUGCUGCCAAAAAGAACGUCGGCCGAGUCCAAGUGAUCGAAAGGCAGUUAUCAGAAUCUUGGUGGACGAAGUUUUACAUCAAUGUAAUAAACCCACCGCUAAAGAUAUUGUGUUGAUAUGUUCUAAGCUAGUAGACAAAUAUAAAACAUCUCUUAGUGACAAUAUCAAUGGCGCAAUAAUAGGAUGUGGAUGUACAAGUUUAAUAAACCAAGUGAGAGAGCGGGUGAACAAUUUAAAAAGAAAGAAACCACCCACAUCCACAGUAUCCUCUAGCAAUUCCUCAUCUUCUGAUACUAGCAGUGGCUCAAAACCCAAAAAGCCUUACUAUGGGUGCGUUAAUUGGAAGCCUGAAAUUCACAAUGUUGAUGGACUCGAAGAAAAGAUAAAAUGGCUGAAUGAAGAAAGUCGCAAAGUUAAAGGAGAACAAGACGAGAGUAAAAUUAAACAAUUUAUGGAAGAAACUUACAGUUUGCAGAGAAAAGACAUUAAUGAUGAAUUUUCCAUUCCUGAAAUAAGACAUCGCUGGCCAUUUCUAUUCAGUAAAUAUUCCUUCGGUCACUUUGAAAAAUUGACUGGAGUUGAUAUAGAGACCGAGUUCUUAAUUACAUCCAAAAAUCAAAGAAAAUCGUGUGUUAAAUACUUGCGACACCGUCAAGCAUCAUCAAAAGGUACAGCUGCCAUGGAGCAAAUAUUUAGAGAUAUCGAUAAAUUUAAGCAGGAAACCGGCACUGACAGCCCUGAAACGGAUGGUAUAGCUCUUUUGUUGCUUGAGUAUUUUAAAGAAACUGGACUAGUAGAGUUUUAUUCGUCGUCCACAGAUACCAGAGAAAUUGAAUCUGUGAUUCGAAAGACGGGAUCUCCUAUAAUAGCUGUGGUUGGAAAUUUGUACACUUCAACUAUAUACCAUAUUAUUAUUGAAAACACAUCUGUUUGUGUCUGUGUUCUUUUUGAGGAAGCCUUGUGCAUUUUAUUCAGCCUCUACUAUAUUCUUAACUUAGAAUAUUUAGAUUCAGCAACAGCUACUCUUGAAUUCUUACAAAGGGCUUUUAUGGGCAUGAACACUGUUCAAGGAACGAAAUCUAAAAAAAAAUCGAAGAAACACAGCGUAAAUCCCAAGGUUUUGCAGCUUGCUAAUGAACUGCGCACUUUCACAGAGCAGCAGCAAAUUGGUGACUGAAUUUCUUUCUAUAGACAGAAAACAAAUCUUUAGUGUCUUGUCUAUACGCUUAUACAUGUAGUUUGCGGUUGAAAAUACAUAUAUAAGGUAUUCCAGUCUGAAUAUGUUUAA